rnacentral:lncRNA from 1 species
CUCACUUGCUCUUGCCAGAAGAGUUCAAGUGGGCUUCUUGCAACAUGCUGAGCUAUUAUUCCCUGGUGGGGUCAUGCAUCUUGUCAGCCACUUAACAGCAGUGGCUGCAGGACACAUUUGGCCAUUAUGUAAUCAGAAAAACCCAAACUUUUAGACCUUGCCUGUAAGGAUUUCAGUCUUCUGCAGAGGAACAAUUGAAAGAUGUAUCACAAUGUACUUACAGUGCAGCAACAGCUUGUUCUGUAUGUGUGUCUUGUUUCCUUGUGAGAACUCAUUCAGGACAGAAGUGAAAAGCAAAGUUAAUGCAGACAGUUCUGCUUUUGCAAAGUCCUUCUGAUUCUCAGUGCUGAGACUCUACUCUCAUGAAGGCGCCAUCAGGAUGAAUGACAAAAAGAGGGAAUAACUGUGGUUUAAAGUUGAAGAAGAUUAUGUGACACGAGCUUUUAAAGAAGCAGAAGCUGCAAAAAUAAAAGCAGACGUUUGGAGCA